UACGGAGGGUGCAAGCGUGAUCCGGAUUCACUGGGUUUAAAGGGUGCGUAGGUGGGCAGGUAAGUCAGUGGUGAAAUCUCCGGGCUUAACCCGGAAACUGCCAUUGAUACUAUCUGUCUUGAAUACCCUGGAGGUGAGCGGAAUAUGUCAUGUAGCGGUGAAAUGCUUAGAUAUGACAUAGAACACCCAUUGCGAAGGCAGCUCACUACGGGAAUAUUGACACUGAGGCACGAAAGCGUGGGGAUCAAACAGGAUUAGAAAACCCUGUAGUCC
rnacentral:rRNA from 1 species